rnacentral:rRNA from 1 species
UUUAUGGAGAGUUUGAUCCUGGCUCAGGAUGAACGCUGGCGGCGUGCCUAAUACAUGCAAGUCGAGCGAACGGAUAAGGAGCUUGCUCCUUUGAAGUUAGCGGCGGACGGGUGAGUAACACGUGGGUAACCUACCUAUAAGACUGGAAUAACUUCGGGAAACCGGAGCUAAUGCCGGAUAACAUUUGGAACCGCAUGGUUCUAAAGUAAAAGAUGGUUUUGCUAUCACUUAUAGAUGGACCCGCGCCGUAUUAGCUAGUUGGUAAGGUAACGGCUUACCAAGGCAACGAUACGUAGCCGACCUGAGAGGGUGAUCGGCCACACUGGAACUGAGACACGGUCCAGACUCCUACGGGAGCAGCAGUAGGGAAUCUUCCGCAA